CGCUGCGGUAGCUCAGUGGUAGAGCACGCAAGUCGAGAAGUGAUGAGCCUUGCAAAUGCGGGUUCGAUCCCCGCCGUAGAGG